UGGGGAAUAUUGCACAAUGGGCGCAAGCCUGAUGCAGCCAUGCCGCGUGUAUGAAGAAGGCCUUCGGGUUGUAAAGUACUUUCAGCGGGGAGGAAGGGAGUAAAGUUAAUACCUUUGCUCAUUGACGUUACCCGCAGAAGAAGCACCGGCUAACUCCGUGCCAGCAGCCGCGGUAAUACGGAGGGUGCAAGCGUUAAUCGGAAUUACUGGGCGUAAAGCGCACGCAGGCGGUUUGUUAAGUCAGAUGUGAAAUCCCCGGGCUCAACCUGGGAACUGCAUUCGAAACUGGCAGGCUAGAGUCUUGUAGAGGGGGGUAGAAUUCCAGGUGUAGCGGUGAAAUGCGUAGAGAUCUGGAGGAAUAACGGUGGGGAAGGCGGCCCCCUGGACAAAGACUGACGCUCAGGUGCGAAAGCGUGGGGAGCAAACAGG
rnacentral:rRNA from 1 species